AAAUUGUGAGAUACUUUCUUCUUGAGACCCUUCAGAUAUUAUAUAUAAAUACUGCUGUUAAAAUUAGCCACUGUUGAAAAUUGGUUUUAUUUUCAUUACAGUACGAACUGAAGCUUACCAACUCAAAGCUACGCACCGAGACAAAAAAGUGUCUGUUUGCAGACAAUUGCAGCUCAACAGGCAAAGCGAGGAGACGUUAGAACAGUACAGAUGCCAGAUCCAGGAAAUAAAGUUGAAGCACAGAAAGCUGCGGUAACUAGAGCACAUUAUUUGUGAUUCAGAAAGUCUCACUGCAGAUAGAUGUGACUAUUCUGUCUCACCCCGAUUGAGCCAUUGAACUUAUGUUGACGUUGACUUUCAAG
ensembl:lncRNA